rnacentral:rRNA from 1 species
UACGUAGGGGGCGAGCGUUGUUCGGAAUUACUGGGCGUAAAGAGCGCGUAGGCGGUCAAAUAAGUCAGGUGUGAAAUCCCUCAGCUUAACUGAGGUUUGGCGCUUGAAACUAUUUGACUUGAGUUUAGGAGAGGAGAGUGGAAUUCCCAGUGUAGCGGUGAAAUGCGUAGAUAUUGGGAGGAACACCUGUGGCGAAGGCGGCUCUCUGGACUAAUACUGACGCUGAGGCGCGAAAGCUAGGGGAGCAAAC